rnacentral:misc_RNA from 1 species
GUGAAGUAUGCCAAGAGGCCGAGGAUUCACACGUUUAUUGCGACAAGUGAGAUCCAUAUGCAGUAUAAGUUGAGGAAGAGUAAAGAGGAGGUGUUGGAGAUUGCCAGGAGUAUGGUUAAGUUCGCCAGGAGUUUGGGGUGUGAUGAUGUAGAGUUUAGCCCAGAGGAUGCUGGCAGAUCUGACAGAGAGUUCUUGUAUCAGAUCUUGGGUGAAGUUAUCAAGGCUGGUGCAACAACUCUGAACAUACCUGAUACUGUUGGGAUAACGUUGCCUAGUGAAUUUGGACAGUUAAUAGCUGAAAUAAAAGCCAAUACCCCUGGAAUAGAAAA